rnacentral:lncRNA from 12 species
GUUAUCUAAAUGCUGAAUUGAAAUUUAGUAUUCAGUAAUCUUGAAAAACCUACCUGUUACCUUGCACAUUUCCUUGUCAACAUGACGCCUCUCAGUGUUACAGCCCGAUAAAUGACUGUUCUGCUAUUUGUGAUGUCACAGCUGUGUCUCAGACUAAACCCUGAGAAGCUCUUCAGGCUGUGACAUUCAGGUCAGCCCAGCUGGAAGCAGCUGCUGUGAGGGCAGCACUUAGAGCAGCAGCCACGAGCAGAGAGUGAUAUAAGGAUAACCUGAAGUGCUCCAAGGGUUGUUCAGAGCCCAAGGAAUGCAGUGAAAGAGGUUUGAAGGAAAAGAAGAGCUGGCUUCCACUUACUGUUUAUACACAUGCAGCAAGAAUUGGUACCUUGUAAGGUCAAUAGUGUCUGAAGAGGAAGUGGAUGAAAGGAGAAGGAGAAUGCCCGAGAAAGUAUCUGGAGGAAAGAAGGAAACAAUAAAUGAAGAGAAUUCUGGCCUCAAUAAACUCUGGUCAAGCACUACAGACAGAAAAACUGCUCUAAAGAUUUGUAUCAGCGAGGAAUACAAAGCAGAAGAACCACCACAUAUUCUUAUUUGCUUCAGUGGAUCAAGUUGCUUCUCCCCUCAAUGCCAUCGUUAUGGUUUGUGUAUUUUAAGAAGUGAGACGCAAUAUUAUCCUGGUUCCAACA